GACGAACGCUGGCGGCGUGCUUAACACAUGCAAGUCGAGCGGUAAGGCCCCUUCGGGGGUACACGAGCGGCGAACGGGUGAGUAACACGUGGGUGACCUGCCCUUAGCUCUGGGAUAAGCCUGGGAAACUGGGUCUAAUACCGGAUAUGACUCCAUGACGCAUGUUGUGGGGUGGAAAGCCUUGUGCGGCUAGGGAUGGGCCCGCGGCCUAUCAGCUUGUUGGUGGGGUGAUGGCCUACCAAGGCGACGACGGGUAGCCGGCCUGAGAGGGCGACCGGCCACACUGGGACUGAGACACGGCCCAGACUCCUACGGGAGGCAGCAGUGGGGAAUCUUGCGCAAUGGGCGAAAGCCUGACGCAGCGACGCCGCGUGGGGAUGACGGCCU
rnacentral:rRNA from 1 species